CCUCUUCCCGGGUGCCUUACUCACUCUGGACUCGGGGAGCAGCUAGGACCGCCCAGCAGAGCUCCGCCCGAGCCCACGUGCGUGCUCCGAGGCACGCACCCCGCGGCCGCCGGGCCACCUGGCACCGCCCCUCCAGUCCCCCGAGAGCCCUUCCUCCGACUGGCUGGGGCUGGAACUGCUUGGAAUCAGACCCAGAAAAAGUCCGAGUUCCUUCCAGAGCUAAAGGCAGCCUCCAGGGAACAAAGCUGCCAGUGUGAGCGCAGCUUGGGCUUGAGGGGGAGUGAAGGGGGCCCUCGGUCCCUCCAAGCCGAGCACUAGGGCUCCGCAGCCUCCUCCCAGCCUUCUUUAAAGCCGCAGGGCCGAUCCAGGAGGGAACUGUUAUACCCAUUAUACGGAUGUGAGUCUUGAGGCUCAGAGAGACGGGAUUUGCUCAGUGACGUUUGGGAAAGGGAUGUUCAGCCUAACCUCAGGACUUUGGACUUGGGGGUCCCUCCCUUCGCGCUGUCUCAAGUAAGACGCGGGUUUAGAAGAGCAAAUAAGGUGAAAUGAUACUACCACUCAAGAAGGACUUGCUGUGU